rnacentral:rRNA from 1 species
GACGAACGCUGGCGGCGUGCUUAACACAUGCAAGUCGAACGGUGAAGGGACCGGUUCUUGCUGGUUCUGGAUGAGUGGCGAACGGGUGAGUAACACGUGAGUAACCUGCCCCCUUCUUCUGGAUAACCGCAUGAAAGUGUGGCUAAUACGGGAUAUUCUGCGCCUGCUGCAUGGUGGGUGUGGGAAAGAUAUUGUUUCGGUGGGGGAUGGGCUCGCGGCCUAUCAGCUUGUUGGUGGGGUGAUGGCCUACCAAGGCGGUGACGGGUAGCCGGCCUGAGAGGGUGGACGGUCACACUGGGACUGAGACACGGCCCAGACUCCUACGGGAGGCAGCAGUGGGGAAUAUUGCACAAUGGGCGCAAGCCUGAUGCAGCGACGCCGCGUGAGGGAUGGAGGCCUUCGGGUUGUAAACCUCUUUCGCCAGUGAAGCAGGCCUGUCCCUUUUGUGGGUGGGUUGACGGUAGCUGGAUAAGAAGCGCCGGCUAACUACGUG